UACGUAGGGGCGAGCGUUGUCCGGAUUUAUUGGGCGUAAAGAGCUCGUAGGCGGUUGGGUAAGUCGGGUGUGAAAACUCAGGGCUCAACUCUGAGACGCCACUCGAUACUGCUCUGACUCGAGUCCGGUAGGGGAGCGUGGAAUUCCCGGUGUAGCGGUGAAAUGCGCAGAUAUCUGGAGGAACACCGGUGGCGAAGGCGGCAUCCUGGACCGACACUGACGCUGAGGAGCGAAAGCCAGGGGAGCAAACGGG
rnacentral:rRNA from 1 species